UGGGUCUCCUGCCUAAACAUUGGCUCAAAGGUUAAAGCAGGCUGCCUCCUUCGAUUAUCGAAUCAACUUUGCUUUCGAACUGUCCGAACGAUGCAUCGACUUUUUUCGGAUGCGGCCACUUGUAGCAAUAAUGGGCAGACAACAUGAGACGAGAAGAGGCAGCUCAAGAAAGUUUAAAACUCCCUGUAACUAUGACAGCAUGAAUGUGGAAUUGCCUUGAGAUUAAACCGCAACUGGCAACCCAAUGAAUGAUGCUGAAUGAAAAUGUGCUACUAUCUGACAUCUUAAGUGGAUAGUGAGGUUUGAAAUGUUAAAAUCCAACUUGGGCAAAGAUUUCAAUGAACUCCAGAACAUAGAGAAUAGCUGAUAUGAAGUAUUUUAUUAGACUAAUAGCUACACGAUGAUUCAAUAAUUCAGCCUUACUUCACCUCUCACGCCCAGCGGUCAAAAGAGGUGAAUGAAUUGAGACGUGUUGAACGAAGGACGAAGGACUCCUGGAGCUAUGGCUAGGUUCAUUUUGAUAAGGAGAUGGCACAUCUUCAUCUGGUUCCGUAAAUCAUGCUAUCGAUGUCUGUUCUACCCUAAUGAAGCCACUGCCUUUCCAUACGGGUGUUCUUUGACACAGAAAUGUUUAAAAUUAAAUUUUACAUGACACUCUGACUGUCAUCACUGUUUGUCUUGGUCUCAAUAUAAGUGUUGAGAGAAAGGUGUUUAAAAAUAGGAUAGACAGACAGAGAUCCAGCAGGGAAGCCAGUGAGCAAUGAAAGCAGAAGGUGCUGGUGUCAGUCAGUGGUCACAUGGAAGGAGAGAAGGGCAGCAAUCCAAUUUCCUACCGCUCUAUGUAAGCAGGCAGAAAGAAGCGCUCAGAACAGCAACAUAAAACAUGCAACAGAAAGAAAGCAAGUGAACUGAUCUAGCAAGAAAUCAGCCCAGAGGUCUACUCCUAAGGAACGUGUUUGAAGGGCAUGCAAUAUCGAGAAGAAAACAAUGGCAGCUACAAGCUACAUUCCGUCAUUUAGUGGCAGUGCGGCAGUGGUGAUGUUAUUUUGUUCAUAUAUUACUUACUUAAUUUCCUCUGUAAUACAUGAGGUAUUCCUUUGUAAGGUACAUACAUUUUUAUCAGUAUAAUUAUACUUGUUAUUUACUACUGACUUUUGGGACAUUAUUUCAAUUCGUAUUGACUUUUUCCAUUUGUUAGUAUAACUUUAUAAAUAGUU